rnacentral:rRNA from 1 species
CUGGCGGCACGCCUAACACAUGCAAGUCGAACGAAGUAGCAAUACUUAGUGGCAGACGGGUGAGUAACAUGUAGGUAUCUGCCCUUUGGCCUGGAAUAACACGAGGAAACUUGUGCUAAUACCGGAUAAGUCUUUACGGAGAAAGCUUUAUGCACCAUUGGAUGAGCCUGCACUUGAUUAGUUUGUUGGUGGGGUAAUGGCCUACCAAGACUGUGAUCAAUAGCUGAUUUGAGAGGAUGAUCAGCCACAUUGGGACUGAGACACGGCCCAAACUCCUACGGGAGGCAGCAGUGGGGAAUCUUGCACAAUGGAGGAAACUCUGAUGCAGCGAUGCCGCGUGAGUGAAGAAGGCCUUUGGGUUGUAAAGCUCUUUCGUCGGGGAAGAAAAUGACUGUACCCGAAUAAGAAGGUCCGGCUAACUUCGUGCCAGCAGCCGCGGUAAUACGAAGGGACCUAGCGUAGUUCGGAAUUACUGGGCUUAAAGAGUUCGUAGGUGGUUGAAAAAGUUGGUGGUGAAAUCCCAGAGCUUAACUCUGGAACUGCCAUCAAAACUUUUCAGCUAGAGUGUGAUAGAGGAAAGCAGAAUUUCUAGUGUAGAGGUGAAAUUCGUAGAUAUUAGAAAGAAUACCAAUUGCGAAGGCAGCUUUCUGGAUCAUUACUGACACUGAGGAACGAAAGCAUGGGUAGCGAAGAGGAUUAGAUACCCUCGUAGUCCAUGCUGUAAACGAUGUGUGUUAGACGUUGGAAAUUUAUUUUCAGUGUCGCAGCGAAAGCGAUAAACACACCGCCUGGGGAGUACGACCGCAAGGUUAAAACUCAAAUGAAUUGACGGGGACCCGCACAAGUAGUGGAGCAUGUGGUUUAAUUCGAAGAUACGCGCAGAACCUUACCAACACUUGACAUGUUCGUCGCGACUUUAAGAGAUUAAAGUUUUCGGUUCGGCCGGACGAAACACAGGUGCUGCAUGGCUGUCGUCAGCUCGUGUCGUGAGAUGUUGGGUUAAGUCCCGCAACGAGCGCAACCCUCACUUUUAGUUGCCAUCAUUUAGUUGGGCACUCUGAAAGAACUGCCAGUGAUAAGCUGGAGGAAGGUGGGGAUGACGUCAAGUCCUCAUGGCCCUUACGUGUUGGGCUACACACGUGCUACAAUGGUAUCUACAACAGGAAGCAAAACUGCGAGGUUAAGCAAAUCCUUAAAAGAUACCUCAGUUCGGAUUGCACUCUGCAACUCGAGUGCAUGAAGCUGGAAUUACUAGUAAUCGUGGAUCAGCGUGCCACGGUGAAUGCGUUCCCGGGUCUUGUACACACCGCCCGUCACACCAUGGGAGUUGGUUCUACCUUAAGGCAAGGUUUCAAACCCUUGACCACGGUAUAGUCAGCGACUGGGGUG